rnacentral:tRNA from 1 species
UUAAAAAUAAGUUAAAUUAAACUGUUAGACUCAUAAUCUAACUAUAGAUUAUAUAUCUUUUUUAAA